CGGGGUGCAGCAGGCGCGAAAACUUUGCAAUGCGGGAAACCGUGACAAGGGAACUCUGAGUGCCCGUUAAAUCGGGCUGUCCAUCGGUUUAAAUAACCGGUGAAGAAAGGGCCGGGCAAGACCGGUGCCAGCCGCCGCGGUAAUACCGGCGGCUCGAGUGGUGGCCACUAUUACUGGGCUUAAAGCGUUCGUAGCUGGUUUGUUAAGUCUCUGGGGAAAUCUUCCGGCUUAACCGGAAGGCGUCUCAGGGAUACUGGCAGACUAGGGACCGGGAGAGGUGAGAGGUACUCCAGGGGUAGGAGUGAAAUCCUGUAAUCCUUGGGGGACCACCUGUGGCGAAGGCGUCUCACCAGAACGGCUCCGACAGUGAGGGACGAAAGCUGGGGGAGCAAACCGGAUUAGAUACCCGGGUAGUCCCAGCUGUAAACGAUGCGCGUUAGGUGUAUCGGUGACCACGAGUCAUCGAGGUGCCGAAGAGAAAUCGCGAAACGUGCCGCCUGGGAAGUACGGUCGCAAGGCUGAAACUUAAAGGAAUUGGCGGGGGAGCACAAGGGCGAA
rnacentral:rRNA from 1 species